UAGGGAAUCUUCCACAAUGGACGCAAGUCUGAUGGAGCAACGCCGCGUGAGUGAAGAAGGCUUUCGGGUCGUAAAACUCUGUUGUUGGAGAAGAAUGGUCGGCAGAGUAACUGUUGUCGGCGUGACGGUAUCCAACCAGAAAGCCACGGCUAACUACGUGCCAGCAGCCGCGGUAAUACGUAGGUGGCAAGCGUUAUCCGGAUUUAUUGGGCGUAAAGCGAGCGCAGGCGGUUUUUUAAGUCUGAUGUGAAAGCCCUCGGCUUAACCGAGGAAGUGCAUCGGAAACUGGGAAACUUGAGUGCAGAAGAGGACAGUGGAACUCCAUGUGUAGCGGUGAAAUGCGUAGAUAUAUGGAAGAACACCAGUGGCGAAGGCGGCUGUCUGUGCUAGUCAAUGACCGUCGAUCGGCAGUG
rnacentral:rRNA from 1 species